GCAGUCGUCGACAGAGUCGCCUGGCGCCCCGCGUGUUGCCAGUGUGUGUGCUGUGGCCGUGUGUGAAAGUGAUUUCAGUUUCUAGUUCUCGUUCAGCAUUGCCGACGGCACGACGUGUUUGCUCUACUCACUGAGUGUGUGUGUGUGUGUGUACGUGUGCGCAGUGCGUGUGCGUGUGCGUGAGCCUGUGCCUGUGUGUGUGGCGCGGGCGCCGAAGCAGCAGCAGCAGCAGCUGAAGCGCAAUUUCCAUUGCCUUCGCCAUUGCUUUGCGACCAGCGGCGACAAAACCAAACAAAACAAAUCCAAAUAACUGUUUCAUCAAUUGAGCAACAAAAGUCGGAUCAGUCAUAGAUACUAGUGAGAAGCACAAAAACGUAUCUCUUUGGACGUGCAACAAAUCAAUAUCAAAACAAAGAACCAAAGCUCAGUAAUCACAC